rnacentral:pre_miRNA from 1 species
CGUGGCAUAGCUGGGUCAAAUGGAGGUUCCAUUCCAAGUUUUCUGAGGAAUCUCCACACUGCUUUCCAAAGUGGUCGUUCAAUUUCCAGUCCUUCCAGCAAU